GAUGAACGCUGGCGGCGUGCCUAAUACAUGCAAGUCGAGCGAACAGACGAGGAGCUUGCUCCUUUGACGUUAGCGGCUGACGGGUGAGUAACACGUGGAUAACCUACCUAUAAGACUGGGAUAACUUCGUGAAACCGGAGCUAAUACCAGAUAACAUGUUGAACCGCAUGGUUCAACAGUGAAAGACGGUCUUGCUGUCACUUAUAGAUGGAUCCGCGCCGCAUUAGCUAGUUGGUAAGGUAACGGCUUACCAAGGCAACGAUGCGUAGCCGACCUGAGAGGGUGAUCGGCCACACUGGAACUGAGACACGGUCCAGACUCCUACGGGAGGCAGCAGUAGGGAAUCUUCCGCAAUGGGCGAAAGCCUGACGGAGCAACGCCGCGUGAGUGAAGAAGGUCUUCGGAUCGUAAAACUCUGUUAUUAGGGAAGAACAAAUGUGUAAGUAACUAUGCACGUCUUGACGGUACCUAAUCAGAAAGCCACGGCUAACUACGUG
rnacentral:rRNA from 1 species